GGCUGGUCAAAGCGUUCUCUUAUCUCUAGCUCUGCCUUUUUACAGCAGCAACCACUGUCAAGAGUCUCACAUGGAUGAAAGACUUGGCUACUCUCCACCACUGUUGCAAACCUCCAGAAAUAUUCUGACGUCGGAUCCCUGUGAUGUUGGAACACCAGUGGCCCCUGAAGAGAAAAACAUUGUUGAUAUGCCAGCCAUGGAUUUCUGUUUUUUUUUUUUUUUUCAAUGUGAAGCCUUUUCAUGGAUGGUCCUGUGUACUCUAUUUUGUGAAAGCUGCUUUGGAGAGAAACGCUAACAGCAAUCAUCAGAUCAAUAAAGAAAACUACCCGGACAGCAUUAAACCCCUCCCCAACCCCCCUGGGAGUAGCUGAGGAACAGCUGUUGAUCUCGUAUCCCUCUGAAAGUGGAAGACCUGGACCCCUAAGGCACCCAUAGAUGACCCUCCCAUCCUACACACACUCACAUUUUCUCAAUUUCAAUACUCCCACACCUCAAAAAUCCAUUGAAAUUCAGCUUCUGAUGUGGUACUAUGGGUUAGAAUGGCCAUUCUUGUUGAACACCUGCCACUA